rnacentral:rRNA from 1 species
AUACAGAGGGUGCAAACGUUGCUCGGAUUUACUGGGCGUAAAGCGCGUGUAGGCGGGCAUGAUAGUCGGACGUGAAAGCCCUGGGCUCAACCCAGGAACUGCGUUCGAAACUCCAUGUCUAGAGUAGUGGAGAGGAAAGUAGAAUUCCCGGUGUAGAGGUGAAAUUCGUAGAUAUCGGGAGGAAUACCAGUGGCGAAGGCGGCUUUCUGGACACUUACUGACGCUGAGACGCGAAAGCGUGGGGAGCAAACAGGAUUAGAUACCCUGGUAGUCCACGCUGUAAACGAUGUGUGCUAGGUGUCGCGGAAUUUGACUUCUGCGGUGCCGUAGCUAACGCGUUAAGCACACCGCCUGGGGAGUACGGCCGCAAGGCUAAA